rnacentral:rRNA from 1 species
AUUGAACGCUGGCGGCAUGCUUUACACAUGCAAGUCGAACGGUAGAGGGGGCAACCCCUUGAGAGUGGCGAACGGGUGAGUAAUGCAUCGGAACGUGCCCAGUCGUGGGGGAUAACGCAGCGAAAGCUGUGCUAAUACCGCAUACGAUCACUGGAUGAAAGCGGGGGACCGAAAGGCCUCGAGCGUAUGGAUCGCCCGGUGUCAGAUUAGGUAGUUGGUGGGGUAAAGGCCUACCAAGCCAACGAUCUGUAGCUGGUCUGAGAGGACGACCAGCCACACUGGGACUGAGACACGGCCCAGACUCCUACGGGAGGCAGCAGUGGGGAAUUUUGGACAAUGGGCGCAAGCCUGAUCCAGCAAUGCCGCGUGCAGGAAGAAGGCCUUCGGGUUGUAAACUGCUUUUGUACGGAACGAAACGGUCUGGGUUAAUACCCUGGGCUAAUGACGGUACCGUAAGAAUAAGCACCGGCUAACUACGUGCCAGCCGCCGCCGUAA